UUCUCUUUCCUUCUGAUUGUUCUCUCUCUCUUCGCGCUCUCUAUCUCUCUCUCCUAAACUGGAUUCUCUCUCGUAUCUCUCAUCUCCGCCGUCCCGCCGUCCAUUCCACCCUGCGGCGCCAUCUCUAUCUGUCCUUUAUCCUAAACUGGAUCGCUCUCCUUUUCUCCUUUUGAUUUCACCAUACACGGCAGCGCGUUUUCUUCACCGGCGGCGAUGGUAACGGGUAUAUCUCUUCUCAAGUCCUCUGCUUCAGAUCUUGGGUAUUGGUUUGCAUGAUUGUAUUGUGUACAAUGUUGGAGGUGAUUACUGUGCAAGAUUUGGCUGCUCAGAUUGAUGUCAAAUUGAAGCUCAAAACGAUUUUUAUCGAAGGAGUCCUUCACUGUUCGAUCUGUUAAAAUUAAAGCACUUAACCUGCUAUUAGUGUCGAUUCUCCCAAUGGCCUUAUCUCUCCAGCUUGAUCAGGGUGAUUUCCUUGCUAAUUAAGGGGUUCAAGCUGCGAUUUUGACAAAUUUGAAGAUGCUAAUGCAGGUGAACUCCGUAACGUAAUGAUUUCCUUGCUAAUUAAGGGGUGCACCUAAUCAAUGUUCCAGAUCUUUCAUCACAAAGCCCAUUGACAAUAUCAGGAAGAUACAGUGGGAAGUUUCCUGAAGUUUUCAAAGCAAGAGGCAUUAUUGCUGACAUGACAUGCUAUGAGUUGGAUCUAAAUGUUUACAAGUCAAAGGCAAUCCCUCUUGAUAAAUUGAGGCUGUUUUUGUGAUUGUGGACCGACACACAAGUCUUGAAAAAGAGAUAGCUUAUGUCUUGUUCAAAACAAGGGUAUAUGCCUUAUUCUCUGUCUGUGAAACCACUACAGCUUCUGCCUCGCAAGGCUGCUACUGCUGCUCUGCAGCUACUGGCUCGCAAGGCUGCUGCCUCGCAUCACAGCUGUUGCAUGCUUCUAUGCUCUUGCUGUUCUUCUGGUCUACACUACUGCUUCUAUGCUCCUGCAGAUGCUGCUGCUAUGCUCUACGCCACUGCUGCCAAUCUGCUCUACGCUACUGUUGUAAUAUUAUUACAGUCGGUCUAUUACAAUAUAAAACUAUAUUCUUUUUUUUUUUUUUUUUGAAUUAAAAUUGUAAUGUUAC